GCUGAAACAGCAGUUCCCAUACGAUCACCGAAGUUAAGCAAAGUCGAGCCUUGCCAGUACCAAGAUGGGUGUCAGCUUAGAAACAGCAGGUGCUAUA